rnacentral:rRNA from 1 species
CAGCGCGAACGUUGGCGGCGUGCCUAACACAUGCAAGUCGUGGGGCAGCAGGUUACUACCUUCGGGUGGUAGUGCUGGCGACCGGCAAACGGGUGAGUAACACGUAGCUUACCUACCCAUAGGUUGGGGAUAACAUCCCGAAAGGGGUGCUAAUACCCAAUAAUGAGGAGACUCCAAAGCCCUUAUGGGCGCCUAUGGAUGGGGCUGCGUCCCAUCAGCUAGUUGGUGAGGUAAUGGCUCACCAAGGCUACGACGGGUAACCGGUCUGAGAGGAUGACCGGUCACAGUGGGACUGAGACACGGCCCGCACCCCUACGGGGGGCAGCAGUGGGGAAUAUUGGGCAAUGGCCGAAAGGCUGACCCAGCAACGCCGCGUGGUGGAUGAAGCCCUUCGGGGUGUAAACACCUUUUCUGGGGGAAGAUAAUGACGGUACCCCAGGAAUAAGGGACGGCUAACUACGUGCCAGCAGCCGCGGUA